rnacentral:rRNA from 1 species
GACGAACGCUGGCGGCGUGCCUAAUACAUGCAAGUAGAACGGAGCGGCGGACGGGUGAGUAAUGCCUAGGAAUCUGCCUGGUAGUGGGGGAUAACGUCCGGAAACGGGCGCUAAUACCGCAUACUAUCAGAUGAGCCUAGGUCGGCUUAGCUAGUUGGUGGGGUAAAGGCCUACCAAGGCGACGAGCCUUAACUGGUCUGAGAGGAUGAUCAGUCACACUGGAACUGGGACACGGUCCAGGCUCCUACGUGAGUCAGCAGUGGGGAAUGUUGGACAAUGGGCGAAAGCCGGAUGCAGCCAUGCCGCGUGUGUGAAGAGGGUCUUCGGAUUGUAAAGCCCUUUAAGUUGGGAGGCGUUACCAAAAGAAUAAGCACCGGCUAACUUCGUGCCAGCCGCCGCGGUAAUAC